CCUACGGGGGGCAGCAGUGAGGAAUAUUGGUCAAUGGGCUUACGCCUGAACCAGCCAAGUCGCGUGAGGGAAGACUGCCCUAUGGGUUGUAAACCUCUUUUGUCAGGGAGCAAUUGGCUCUACGUGUAGCGUUAUCGAGAGUACCUGAAGAAAAAGCAUCGGCUAACUCCGUGCCAGCAGCCGCGGUAAGACGGAGGAUGCGAGCGUUAUCCGGAUUUAGUGGGUUUAAGGGGUGCGUAGGCGGAAUGCCAAGUCAGCGGUAAAAUCGCGGGGCUCAACCUCGCUCCGCCGUUGAAACUGGCGUUAUGGAGUGGGCGAGAAGUAGGCGGAAUGCGUGGUGUAGCGGUGAAUUGCAUAGAUAGCACGCAGAACUCCGAUUGAGAAGGCUGCAUACCGGCGCCCAACUGACGCUGAAGCACGAAAGCGUGGGUAUCGAACAGGAUUAGAUACCCCAGUAGUC
rnacentral:rRNA from 1 species